rnacentral:SRP_RNA from 1 species
CGCAGGGUCCCGCUCGAGUUUGGGACCCUGUGAACCCGGUCAGAUCCGGAAGGAAGCAGCCGUAGCAGGAAUUCGGCUGCGAGUGGGGAUGCCCUGCGGUC